rnacentral:misc_RNA from 1 species
UCUCCGUUGGUGAACCAGCGGAGGGAUCAUUACAGGACUCGCAAGACUCCUUCACCCUGUGAACCUCACUACAAGCACGUUGCUUCGGCGGGUGUCCCGGCGGGGGUUUCCCCUCGCCGGGGCGCACAGCCCGCCGGCAGCCUACUAUACUCUGUCUCUUUGCGUUGGCAUCUCGAGAAAAAACAAACAAGUUAAAACUUUCAACAACGGAUCUCUUGGUUCUG